AUAAACGCUGGCGGCGUGCCUAAUACAUGCAAGUCGAGCGAACGGACGAGAAGCUUGCUUCUCUGAUGUUAGCGGCGGACGGGUGAGUAACACGUGGAUAACCUACCUAUAAGACUGGGAUAACUUCGGGAAACCUUAGCUAAUACCGGAUAAUAUUUUGAACCGCCUGGUUCAAAAGUGAAAGCCGUUCUUGCUGUCCCUUAUAGAUGGAUCCGCGCUGCAUUAGCUAGUUGGUAAGGUAACGGCUUACCAAGGCAACGAUGCAUAGCCGACCUGAGAGGGUGAUCGGCCACACUGGAACUGAGACACGGUCCAGACUCCUACGGGAGGCAGCAGUAGGGAAUCUUCCGCAAUGGGCGAAAGCCUGACGGAGCAACGCCGCGUGAGUGAUGAAGGUCUUCGGAUCGUAAAACUCUGUUAUUAGGGAAGAACAUAUGUGUAAGUAACUGUGCACAUCUUGACGGUACCUAAUCAGAAAGCCACGGCUAACUACGUG
rnacentral:rRNA from 1 species